UACAGAGGUGGCAAGCGUUGUUCGGAAUUACUGGGCGUAAAGGGCGCGUAGGCGGCCUACUAAGUCAGACGUGAAAUCCCCCGGCUUAACCUGGGAACUGCGUCUGAUACUGGAAGGCUUGAGGAUGGGAGAGGGAUGUAGAAUUCCUGGUGUAGCGGUGAAAUGCGCAGAUAUCAGGAGGAACACCGGUGGCGAAGGCGGAUCUCUGGGCCUUACCUGACGCUGAGGCGCGAAAGCUAGGGGAGCAAACAGG
rnacentral:rRNA from 1 species